GGUCCAGUGGUCCAGCGGUUAGGAUUCUGACAAUUGAGAUCAGAGGCUCGGGUUCAACUCCCGGCUGGACCU